UACGAAGGGGGCUAGCGUUGCUCGGAAUCACUGGGCGUAAAGCGCACGUAGGCGGCUUCUUAAGUCAGGGGUGAAAUCCUGGAGCUCAACUCCAGAACUGCCUUUGAUACUGAGGAGCUUGAGUCCGGGAGAGGUGAGUGGAACUGCGAGUGUAGAGGUGAAAUUCGUAGAUAUCAGGAGGAACACCAAUGGCGAAGGCAGCUCACUGGGACGGUAUUGACGCUGAGACGCGAAAGCGUGGGGAGCAAACAGG
rnacentral:rRNA from 1 species